rnacentral:lncRNA from 1 species
UUUCUCUCAAUUGUUUAGGGUAAACAGUGUCAACUCAAUGUACUCAAGAAAGCAAGCAACAAACAGUCUUGGCAAGCCUCUAAUAUCAACACUCAAACACAUAUGCAUGUUCAAAUCAAAAGGUCUUUUAUGGGUGAAAUGGGGCCAAGGACAAGGGAGGAUAACAUAUAGAUGAGAAGCUAUAAACCAAAAGGAAUAGAGGAGUAAUGGGGAACAAGUGUAAACACAGUAUACACACAACCAAAACCUCUAAUUCAAUCCUCUUCUUGACUCCUUUUUUCACAUUUUUUUUUAAUUUUUCUCAUUUUUCUGUAU